UACGUAGGGUGCAAGCGUUGUCCGGAAUUAUUGGGCGUAAAGAGCUCGUAGGCGGUUCGUCGCGUCGGCUGUGAAAACCUGAGGCUCAACCUCAGGCCUGCAGUCGAUACGGGCGGACUUGAGUACUGCAGGGGAGACUGGAAGUUCCUGGUGUAGCGGUGAAAUGCGCAGAUAUCAGGAGGAACACCGGUGGCGAAGGGCGGGGAUCUCUGGGCAGUAACUGACGCUGGAGGAGCG
rnacentral:rRNA from 1 species